rnacentral:rRNA from 1 species
CGGUUUGUUAAGUNAGAUGUGAAAUCCCCGGGCUCAACCUGGGAACUGCAUCUGAUACUGGCAAGCUUGAGUCUCGUAGAGGGGGGUAGAAUUCCAGGUGUAGCGGUGAAAUGCGUAGAGAUCUGGAGGAAUACCGGUGGCGAAGGCGGCCCCCUGGACGAAGACUGACGCUCAGGUGCGAAAGCGUGGGGAGCAAACAGGAUUAGAUACCCUGGUAGUCCACGCCGUAAACGAUGUCGACUUGGAGGUUGUGCCCUUGAGGCGUGGCUUCCGGAGUAACGCGUUAAGUCGACCGCCUGGGGAGUACGGCCGCAAGGUUAAAACUCAAAUGAAUUGACGGGGGCCCGCACAAGCGGUNGAGCAUGUGGUUUAAUUCGAUGCAACGCGAAVVCCUUACCUGGUCUUGACAUCCAC